UACGUAGGUGGCAAGCGUUGUCCGGAUUUACUGGGCGUAAAGAGCGCGCAGGCGGUCGUUCAAGUCGCGUGUGAAAGCCCCCAGCUCAACUGGGGAGGGUCACGCGAUACUGAUCGACUCGAAGGCAGGAGAGGGAAGUGGAAUUCCCGGUGUAGUGGUGAAAUGCGUAGAUAUCGGGAGGAACACCAGUGGCGAAGGCGACUUCCUGGCCUGUUCUUGACGCUGAGGCGCGAAAGCUAGGGGAGCAAACGGG
rnacentral:rRNA from 1 species